GUUGUGUUUAUUUCUGAAACAGUCUCAUCCUUCCCAGGCUGGACUCAAGCUCCCUACUGUCGCUAAGAAUGACGUUGAACUCCGGAUCACCCUGCUUCUCCCAAGGGAUGGGAUCACAAUUCUCUCCAUGUGGGACAAAGCCAGAAGGUACCAGGCCUUCACUAGAGGUUGCACCUGCCUGCAGACAUCUUCUUCUGGGGCUUCCUAGAUCUUCAAGCCCUGAGAAAUGACGCCAUUUACAAAGCACGCCUGGAUGCGGAGCCCAGGUGUAUCGACAGGCUUCCAUUGUACGGUUGAGUAGUGUCCCACAUCACACACGCUGGAACUUGCUUAUGCUUUCCCACUGGAGUGACACACAGAUGUGCUAUCAAUGUUUAUAUACAGACUUCUGUGUCAAAACAAGUUCUAAUUUCCCUGGAAUAAAUAAACCAAAGUAUAAUCGCUA